rnacentral:rRNA from 1 species
UACGUAGGGUGCAAGCGUUGUCCGGAAUUAUUGGGCGUAAAGAGCUCGUAGGCGGUUUGUCGCGUCUGCUGUGAAAGCCCGAGGCUCAACCUCGGGCCUGCAGUGGGUACGGGCAGACUAGAGUGCGGUAGGGGAGAUUGGAAUUCCUGGUGUAGCGGUGGAAUGCGCAGAUAUCAGGAGGAACACCAAUGGCGAAGGCAGAUCUCUGGGCCGUAACUGACGCUGAGGAGCGAAAGCAUGGGGAGCGAACAGG